rnacentral:rRNA from 1 species
AUUGAACGCUGGCGGCAUGCUUUACACAUGCAAGUCGAACGGUAACAGGCCUUCGGGUGCUGACGAGUGGCGAACGGGUGAGUAAUGCAUCGGAACGUGCCCAGAGGUGGGGGAUAACGCAGCGAAAGCUGUGCUAAUACCGCAUGUGAUCUGAGGAUGAAAGCGGGGGACCAGGCAGCAAUGUUUGGCCUCGCGCCUUUGGAGCGGCCGCUGUCAGAUUAGGUAGUUGGUGGGGUAAAGGCCUACCAAGCCGACGAUCUGUAGCUGGUCUGAGAGGACGACCAGGCACACUGGGACUGAGAAACGGCCCAGACUCCGACGGGAGGCAGCAGUGGGGAAUGUUGGACAAUGGGCGCAAGCCUGAUCCAGCAAUGCCGCGUGCGGGAAGAAGGCCUUCGGGGUGUAAACCGCUUUUGUACGGAACGAAAAGGCUCUGGCUAAUACCUGGGGCUGAUGACGGUACCGUAAGAAUAAGCACCGGCUAACUACGUG